UACAGAGGCCUCGAGCGUUAGGCGGAAUCACUGGGCUUAAAGCGUGUGUAGGCGGACUUCUAAGUACCUUGUGAAAUCCCACGGCUCAACCGUGGAACUGCUGGGUAUACUGCCUGUCUUGAGCCAGCCAGGGGCAGUCGGAACAGACGGUGGAGCGGUGAAAUGCGUAGAUAUCGUCUGGAACGCCAAAGGUGAAAACAGACUGCUGGGGCUGUGCUGACGCUGAGACACGAAAGCCAGGGGAGCGAACGGG
rnacentral:rRNA from 1 species